GCCCCUAUAGCUCAACGGAUAGAGUACCAGCCUCCGGAGCUGGUGGUGCAGGUUCAAUUCCUGCUGGGGGCA
rnacentral:tRNA from 1 species